AGUAAUGCAUAGGAAUCUGCCCGGUAGUGGGGGAUAACUUGAGGAAACUCAAGCUAAUACCGCAUACGCCCUACGGGGGAAAGCAGGGGCUCUUCGGACCUUGCGCUAUCGGAUGAGCUUAUGUCGGAUUAGCUGGUUGGUGAGGUAAUGGCUCACCAAGGCGACGAUCCGUAGCUGGUCUGAGAGGAUGAUCAGCCACAUCGGGACUGAGACACGGCCCGAACUCCUACGGGAGGCAGCAGUGGGGAAUAUUGGACAAUGGGCGAAAGCCUGAUCCAGCCAUGCCGCGUGUGUGAAGAAGGCCCUCGGGUUGUAAAGCACUUUCAGUGAGGAAGAAGGCUUGUCGGUUAAUACCCGACAGGAAGGACAUCACUCACA
rnacentral:rRNA from 1 species